UAUUUUGAAAAUACAAGAAAGAUUUUAAAACAUUUAUUAAUUUU
rnacentral:rRNA from 1 species